GACGAACGCUGGCGGCGUGCCUAAUACAUGCAAGUAGAACGCUGAAGGAGGAGCUUGCUUCUCUGGAUGAGUUGCGAACGGGUGAGUAACGCGUAGGUAACCUGCCUGGUAGUGGGGGAUAACUAUUGGAAACGAUAGCUAAUACCGCAUAAUAGCAGUUGUUGCAUGAUAACUGUUUGAAAGGUGCAAUUGCACCGCUACCAGAUGGACCUGCGUUGUAUUAGCUAGUUGGUGGGGUAACGGCUCACCAAGGCGACGAUACAUAGCCGACCUGAGAGGGUGAUCGGCCACACUGGGACUGAGACACGGCCCAGACUCCUACGGGAGGCAGCAGUAGGGAAUCUUCGGCAAUGGACGGAAGUCUGACCGAGCAACGCCGCGUGAGUGAAGAAGGUUUUCGGAUCGUAAGGCUCUGUUGUAAGAGAAGAACGAGUGUGAGAGUGGAAAGUUCACACUGUGACGGUAUCUUACCAGAAAGGGACGGCUAACUACGUG
rnacentral:rRNA from 1 species